AUAUCGCUUAGUUAGAAUGAAACCGACUUAACUCAAAAAAUCUUUAAAUUGACUUAAGGUCAUCGAACGACUCUACACAUCGUAUUCUAUCGCAUAAUGAAUCAGAAACUGCCCCAACUGUGUUAGAAGAGUACGAACGCUCUAUUUUGGUCGCUUUCUAACUGAGCGCCGAGGGCUCCAGGGUCGGAACGUCAACGCCCCUUUUGGUGAUAUUUCCGCAACCGCAAGCGCAACACGUUGACCGAACGCAAAUAAAGUGACCGAUUGACGCUUGAGACAUUUUCAUUCCAAAAAAGGCUUUUUAUUUUAGGUCAUAAGAUUUUUUUUGUUAUUCGUGAAAGAUAAAACGGAGAACGCUCAUGAUUUUGGAAAAUGAUAGAAAAAGAAAGAAUGUGGACGAAGAAGUAAAUUAACAAAAGCAGCAGGUAAGCAUACUUCGUUUUAUAUUUCCUGAAAAUAUUUAAGUUCCGGUUUUGUUUAGAUUAUCAUUAUGUCAUUUUUCCUCACUUAAAGUCUUUUGUGAAACGUAUUUUAUGUGUUCUAUCACUUUUACUGAUAUUGAGCAUGUUGGUGUAUUAAAACAUCGGUAAGUAGGUAUACCUACUCAUAUGUGACUUGUCAAGGUUAGCGCGGGUUUAAGGUUGGUGGAGGUUGGAAGUAGAGUAAGCAUAAAAACACGAAUUGAAUGGUUAAUAUUGAGAGCAUAACAUAAUUUAUUAUUAACACAUAUUUUUGAGAUUUGGUUUGCUGCUUUUGAUGACAUGCACUCUAUUUUUUGCUUUUUCAGGAAACACAAUUUAAUAUAAAAAACAUUUCCCCGAAUGCGUCGUUUGAUAAAAACACGCCAGUUCUUGAAAAUCAUGCAUGAAGAACCUUACCGUUUGAAUCUAAUAGAGCCUGUAACUAUUUAUUUAUUUAAGUAUUUAUUUUUAGAAUGCGUUGCCAGAAAUUAUUAGAAGUAUGUAUAAUACUAAUUUAAACUAUUUUUUCAAAAUCGAAGAUCAUUAAUCACCUCUGUAAACAUUUUAGCCGUUUGAAUCUAUCUGAGACUGAAUACAAUUAUUAAUCUGUACCACAAGUAACAGUUAGGAGUACCCUGUAAUAGACUGGCAAAGACAAUAGUGACUGCUUAUCGUGCAGUAACACUUAUCAAUGAGCCUAAAAGGGACCCAGAUAGGUAUCUGGUGAGGUAAAUAAAAGUACCACUUUUCGAAGUUUCUCUUUCUUAAACUCGAUCGAUUCUCUAGCUACAAAUGAACAAAUAGCUAUCCAAGAACCUAAACAUAUAUACAUAUAAGCCAUAUGUAUAUAUGUUUAGGUUCUUGGAUCAGAAUCAUCAACAAGAACAUUUCAUCAGAAUCAUCAACAAGAACAUAAGAAUUCAGGAAGUGAUUUUAUUUCCCAGUCUUUAAUAUCAACUGAUACAGAACCACAACCCUCAGGCAGCGGCUGCUCAGGACAGAAUAAAAAUAAAUAUAUAACGUCAUUUUAUGCAUUAUAUAAUAGCGAAAUUUCACAUUGGGUCAAUAAUAAAUAAAUAUCUUAUUACUGGGCACACGCAAAAUGAGGACGAUAAUGUUCACUCCCUCAUUGAAAAAUAAAUAAAAAAAACUUAAAAUCGGGCCCAAUUUGUCCACCUUAUCGAUAUAUAAAUAUUAUAAGCUUAAUUAAGAGCUCUAAAAAUUGGGACACCUCUCAAGGUUCAGCAUUUUUCUUUAGCUAUGAGCUAUGAUACUAUGUUAGAUUUGAAAGCUUUGCAAAACGAGUGGGGCUACAAUUUCAAUGAGGACAAUGAUGACAAGGAGCAGAUUUUGUGGGGUGAUGUAAAAUACGCGUUUUAAGGUUUGUCUAAAAUGAACCUUUUGUAUUUUAUUAUAAGACCAGUUAUACUGAAGACAAAAGACUAGCGCGUCAACAUGAGAAACAAAAGGAAGAAGAUGCCUUGUGUUGAAAGUGUUUCGAGAAAACUGAAGUUAUCGGAAAAUACAAGAAAAGGUCUUAUGGAGUUAAGAAAAACAUUAAUACCUAAUUAUUAUGUAUAUUAUUAUCACAAUCUUAGGAAUAUUAGGUACUAUGAGUUUAUUUUGAUACAAAUUGUUACUGCUGUACAGGUGUAACAUUACCUUCGAUAUAGCCGAAACCCAUGUCAUCUCCCUAUUAAUAUGAACAUUUUCCCCCAAGAAUCCAUACCUGGAAUCAAUAGUUUCCGAGAUAAUGAAGUUGGAUUGAAUUUUUUUUUUGCAAAUUUAUAUAAUUUAUCAUGUAACCGUCAUUUCAUCCAAAGAAACCUCAUAAAAAUAUUAAAGAAUUCCCUAUCUAAACUAACGCUAAAAUUUAAAACGUGCAAUGAACAGUGCCCUUCGCAUCGCCGCAUAGCGCUUUCACUAUAGCGAUACACACACACAAACUAACGGCUCAUAGCUGAUUCGUGCGUGAGCGAUUGAUACGAUGCCGCAAUGUUCACUUAUUUUGAUUAUUUAUUAUUAUUUUUUAUAUUGUUUUUUUUUUUUAAUUUUCCCUGUCAAAUGAUUAUUCUGAAGUCACUUUAAUUGGGGUACCCUAUGCAUACCUAACGGCUAUGACGGAGGUAGUGGUAUACCUUGUAUAUGCCAAAUGCAGGCAGGCAGAACUCUGAACAAUACUAUAAAAUAUGUUAUUAUUUCAAUACAAUAAAUAACUUGAACACAA